AACGGCCGCGGCACUAAAACCGUGCAAAGGUAGCACAAUCACUUGUCCCUUAAAUGAGGACCUGUAUGAAAGGCAACAUGAGAGAAGACCUGUCUCCUAAGGCCAGCCAAUGAAAUUGAACUACCAGUACAAAAGCUGGUAUUUUCAAGCAAGACAAAAAGACCCUAUGGAACUUUAACAAAUUAUUUACAUGACAUAAAUUAUAGUUUCAGUUGGGACAACUUUAGAGAAAAUUAACCUCUCAAUAAUACACAGACCAACAAGUCUAAAGACCCAGUCACACUGAUUAACGAAACAAGCUACCCUAGGGAUAACAGCGCUACCUUCUCAAAGAGUCCAUAUCAACAGGAAGAUCUACGACCUCGAUGUUGGAUCAGGGUACCCAGACGGUGCAGCAGCUGUCAACGGUUCGUUUGUUCAACGACUAAUACCC
rnacentral:rRNA from 1 species